rnacentral:rRNA from 1 species
AGUCGAACGGCAGCACGGACUUCGGUCUGGUGGCGAGUGGCGAACGGGUGAGUAAUGUAUCGGAACGCCUAGUAGCGGGGGAUAACUACGCGAAAGCGUAGCUAAUAUCGCAUGUCGCCCUUCGGGGGGAAGCGGGGACCUUUCGGGCCUCGCACUAUUAGAGCGGCCGAUAUCGGAUUAGCUAGUUGGUGGGGUAACGGCUCACCAAGGCGACGAUCCGUAGCUGGCUUCCAGAGGACGACCAGCCACACUGGGACCGAGACACGGCCCGACUUACGGGAGGCAGCAGUGGGGAAUUUUGGACAAUGGGGGGAAACCUGAUCCAGCCAUCCCGCGUGUGCGAUGAAGGCCUUCGGGUUGUAAAGCACUUUGGCAGGAAAGAACGGCACGGAUAAUACCCCGUGCAACUGACGGUACCUGCAGAAUAAGCACCGGCUAACUACGUGCCAGCAGCCGCGGUAUUGCAGGUGCAAGCGUUAAUCGGAAUUACUGGGCGUAAAGCGUGCGCAGGCGGUUCGGAAAGAAAGAUGUGAAAUCCCAGAGCUUAACUUUGAACUGCAUUUUUAACUACUGAGCUAGAGUGUGUCAGAGGGAGGUGGAAUUCCGCGUGUAGCAGUGAAAUGCGUAGAUAUGCGGAGGAACACCGAUGGCGAAGGCAGCCUCCUGGGAUAACACUGACGCUCAUGCACGAAAGCGUGGGGAGCAAACAGGAUUAGAUACCCUGGUAGUCCACGCCCUAAAACGAUGUCAAUCAUUUUCGUUGGGGCCUUCGGCCUUGUAGCGCAGCUAACGCGUAAGCUGACCGCCUGGGGAGUACGGUCGCAAGAUUAAACCCAAAGGAAUUGACGGGGACCCGCACAAGCGGUGAUGUUUACGUGGAUUAAUUCGAUGCAAACGCGAAAAACCUUACCUACCCUUGACAUGUCUGGAAUCCCGAAGAGAUUUGGGAGUGCUCGCAAGAGAACCGGAACACAGGUGCUGCAUGGCUGUCGUCAGCUCGUGUCGUGAGAUGUUGGGUUAAGUCCCGGCAACGAGCGCAACCCUUGUCAUUAGUUGCUACGAAAGGGCACUCUAAUGAGACUGCCGGUGACAAACUGGAGGAAGGUGAAGGAUGACGUCAAGUCCUCAUGGCCCUUAUGGGUAGGGCUUCACAUCGUCAUACAAUGGUCGGGACAGAGGGUCGCCAACCCAGCGAGGGGAGCCAAUCCCAGAAACCCGAUCGUAGGUCCGGAUCGCAGUCUGCAACUCGACUGCGUGAAGUCGGAAUCGCUAGUAAUCGCGGAUCAACAUGUCGCGGUGAAUACGUUCCCGGGUCUUGUACACACCGCCCGUCACACCAUGGGGAGUGGGUUUUACCAGAAGUAGUUAGCCUAACCGUAAGGAGGGCGAUUACCACGGUAGGAUUCAUGACUGGGGUGAAGUCAACAAGGUAG